rnacentral:snoRNA from 1 species
AAUUUAGACUACAAUAUAACAGUUCAUUGCUGUGCUGUCCUUUUCCCAGCUAAAAAGAAAGUUGUUUUUUAUCUACCCCUGUCUACUGAACUCUUGUAGCAGCCAGGAAUGCUUGAUCUCAUACCC